rnacentral:snRNA from 1 species
AGCUUUGCCAGUGGCAGUACCGUAGCCCAAGAGGUUUAUCUGAGGCGCAAGUAUUGCUAAUAAACUUUUCCCAAUACCUGGCCAUGAUGACUUGAAAUAUAGUCGGCACUGGCAAUUUUUGACAGUCUCUAUGGAGU